UACGUAGGGUGCGAGCGUUGUCCGGAAUUAUUGGGCGUAAAGAGCUCGUAGGCGGUCUGUCGCGUCGAUCGUGAAAACUUGGGGCUUAACCCUGAGCUUGCGGUCGAUACGGGCAUGACUGGAGUUCGGCAGGGGAGACUGGAAUUCCUGGUGUAGCGGUGAAAUGCGCAGAUAUCAGGAGGAACACCAGUGGCGAAGGCGGCUCACUGGACCGGUUCUGACGCUGAUGCGCGAAAGCGUGGGGAGCAAACGGGG
rnacentral:rRNA from 1 species